rnacentral:misc_RNA from 1 species
GUCCACAGUCAGAAAAGGUACUCUAAUUUGCUAAGCAAUAUAUAUAUAAUCUCUUAUCUAUCCUUAUCCAAAAAAAAAACUUUAUUAAGGAUUCAUCAAGCAAGAUGGGCUGAAAGUUGCAAAUAUACAAUAAGUGCCUUUUUCAUUCCUCCCUAACUUAUACUUCCAUUUCCCAACAUAUCAUUAACGUCAAGAAUUCUAGAUAGAGAGAUAGGAGAGGGAAAGAAAGAAAUUAGGUUUAUUUUUUUAUUUUUUUUUAGGUUCAACCCAUUUGGAACCCUUGAACUAGAAGAUUUAUUUUUCAAUUGUGG